UACAGAGUGGGCAAGCGUUGUUCGGAAUUACUGGGCGUAAAGGGCGCGUAGGCGGCCUGCUAAGUCGAACGUGAAAUCCCCGGGCUCAACCCGGGAACUGCGUCCGAUACUGGUAGGCUUGAAUUCGGGAGAGGGAUGCGGAAUUCCAGGUGUAGCGGUGAAAUGCGUAGAUAUCUGGAGGAACACCGGUGGCGAAGGCGGCAUCCUGGACCGACAUUGACGCUGAGGCGCGAAAGCCAGGGGAGCAAACGGG
rnacentral:rRNA from 1 species